AUUGAACGCUGGCGGCAGGCCUAACACAUGCAAGUCGAGCGGAUGAAGGGAGCUUGCUCCUGGAUUCAGCGGCGGACGGGUGAGUAAUGCCUAGGAAUCUGCCUGGUAGUGGGGGAUAACGUCCGUAAACGGGCGCUAAUACCGCAUACGUCCUGAGGGGGAAAGUGGGGGAUCUUCGGACCUCACGCUAUCAGCUGAGCCUAGGUUGGAUUAGCUAGUUGGUGGGGUAAAGGCCUACCAAGGCGACGAUCCGUAACUGGUCUGAGAGGAUGAUCAGUCACACUGGAACUGAGAAACGGUCCACACUCCUACGGGAGGCAGCAGUGGGGAAUAUUGGACAAUGGGCGAGAGCCUGAUCCAGCCAUGCCGCGUAUGUGAAGAAGGUCUUCGGAUUGUAAAGCACUUUAAGUUGGGAGGAAGGACAGUAAGUUAAUACCUUGCUGUUUUGACGUUACCAACAGAAUAAGCACCGGCUAACUUCGUG
rnacentral:rRNA from 1 species